rnacentral:lncRNA from 1 species
CUGCUAUUGUGUAUGCUCUUUGAGGGCAGGGACUAAAUCUUGUUGUCCCUAGAUCAUGACUCAAUGCCUUGCCCAAAUAUAAAGUCAACAAAUAUUUGUGGAGUGGAAUUAAAGAGGUUCAUCUGCAUGCCACAGAUGCAUUUAUAUAGUGAAGACUAUGGGAUGAGGUAGGAGGCACACCUGGGAAAGGGAGGGAAGGAGGUGGAUAUGAUGCAGUACAUAACAGAUCCAAGAUCACCAGAAAGAAGAGUCAGCUACAUCCUUUACCCUUUUUCCUCCAAAGUUAAUUUAUGAACUGAUCUGAAGUCAGUAAUGAUACUUAACGACACGGAAGAUUAAAGGGAGAGAGCACAACGCUGCUGGAAGAAUGUCGGAUUAGGAUCCUGAAUGUCUGCUCAUCUGGCUUUAAGAAGGCCAUUUAACUUCCAGGCACCUUAGGCUCUUCACCUAUAAAAUAGAGAUAAAAUAUUGGUCCUCCCUCUCCCCUGGUUUGCUGUAAAGAUGCAUGAGGUCACUGUGAAAAUGAUCUGUAAGCUGUAAGGAUUCUCUUUAUGGCCUUUGGGCAUCAUUGGCACACCUAGGAGCUGGUUAGAAAUGCAGACUCUCAGGCCCCACCCUAGACCUACUGAAUCAGGAUAUACAUUUUAACAAUGUCUUCAGGCAAUUUGCAUGCACAUCAUUGGUUUCAGAAGUACUACUCUAAAGGACUAUAUAAUAAAAGUUGCAAUUGUUGUUAAUAAGGUCCACGUGUGUUGGCAAAACUGAACAUAAGCUCUCACCCCAAAGGACUCCGCGAUGGAGGGGCAGCAGGCAGACAGGUGGAGUUAUAGCUGGAUUGAAGGGGUCACAUUCAUCUUUGGGCAGUAAGAGACCUGAGAAGAGGCUACAGGAAUAUUAGAAAUUGUCAUGAGAACUGCUAUAUAUUAAGUGCUUGCUGUGUGCUGAGCACCCUGCAGGGCUUUUUACCCUCACAGAUAUGAUCCCAUAUAAUCCAUACUUUACAGUUAUCUUGUUUCAUAAGCACAGAAGCUGAGAUUAUGAAAUUGACCCAAGGUCACACAGCUUGUGGAGCUGAGAUUGGAACUUAGGUUGAUGAUGGCAGAGAAUCCUACUGACAAGAGUGCAAGAAGCAGGGAUUUCUGAAAACGUACUGUGGACAUCUAAUUUUUGAUACCAUAAAAACAGAUAUAAUAAAAUUCAGAGGGACUGGUUAGGAUACAAACAAGACUUUCCCUCCUUAUAAUUUAUUUCUGCAUGUGAUAAUAUUUCAUAGCACAAGUCAAUACUUUGGAUUGUAACUAGAAUACUCUUGAAGCCUUAUCCUCAAGUUUUGUAAUUGAAAAA